ensembl:rRNA 5S_rRNA 5S ribosomal RNA
CUCUACGGCCAUACCACCCUGAAUGUGCGCGAUGUCGUCUGUUCUUGGAAGCUAAGCAGGGUCGGCCUGGUUAGGACUUGCAUGGCAGACCACCUGGGAAUACCAGGUGCUGUAGGGU